UACGUAGGGCGCAAGCGUUAUCCGGAAUCAUUGGGCGUAAAGAGUGCGUAGGCGGUCCGGUAAGUCGGUUGUGAAAACUCUGGGCUCAACUCAGAGACGCCACCCGAUACUGCUCUGACUUGAGUCCGGUAGGGGAGUGGGGAAUUCCUGGUGUAGCGGUGAAAUGCGCAGAUAUCAGGAGGAACACCGGUGGCGAAGGCGCCACUCUGGGCCGGAACUGACGCUGAGGAGCGAAAGCGUGGGUAGCAAACAGG
rnacentral:rRNA from 1 species